GGUGUUGAUUGCCGCGAGGGUCCACCCGUUCCCAUCCCGAACACGGAAGUUAAGCUCGCCGGCGCUGAAGAUACUUGGCUGGAGACGGCCCGGGAAAAUAAGUUUUCGCC
rnacentral:rRNA from 1 species